UACGAAGGGGGCUAGCGUUGCUCGGAAUCACUGGGCGUAAAGCGCACGUAGGCGGCUAUUCAAGUCAGAGGUGAAAGCCCAGGGCUCAACCCUGGAACUGCCUUUGAAACUAGAUAGCUAGAAUCUUGGAGAGGCGAGUGGAAUUCCGAGUGUAGAGGUGAAAUUCGUAGAUAUUCGGAAGAACACCAGUGGCGAAGGCGACUCGCUGGACAAGUAUUGACGCUGAGGUGCGAAAGCGUGGGGAGCAAACAGG
rnacentral:rRNA from 1 species